CAGCAGCCACGGUAACACGAAGGGUGCAAGCGUUACUCGGAAUUACUGGGCGUAAAGCGUGCGUAGGUGGCUGUUUAAGUCUGCUGUGAAAGCCCUGGGCUCAACCUGGGAAUUGCAGUGGAUACUGGGCGACUAGAGUAAGGUAGAGGAUAGUGGAAUUUCCGGUGUAGCAGUGAAAUGCGUAGAGAUCGGAAGGAACAUCUGUGGCGAAGGCGACUAUCUGGGCCAUUACUGACACUGAGGCACGAAAGCGUGGGGAGCAAACAGGAUUAGAUACCCGUGUAGUCCUGUCUCUUAUACA
rnacentral:rRNA from 1 species